UUAAGCGACUAAGCGUACACGGUGGAUGCCCUGGCAGUCAGAGGCGAUGAAGGACGUGCUAAUCUGCGAAAAGCGUCGGUAAGGUGAUAUGAACCGUUAUAACCGGCGAUGUCCGAAUGGGGAAACCCAGUGCAAUUCGUUGCACUAUCGUUAACUGAAUACAUAGGUUAACGAGGCGAACCGGGGGAACUGAAACAUCUAAGUACCCCGAGGAAAAGAAAUCAACCGAGAUUCCCCCAGUAGCGGCGAGCGAACGGGGAGCAGCCCAGAGUCUGAAUCAGCUUGUGUGUUAGUGGAACGGUCUGGAAAGUCCGACGGUACAGGGUGAUAGUCCCGUACACCAAAAUGCACAGGUUGUGAACUCGAAGAGUAGGGCGGGACACGUGGUAUCCUGUCUGAAUAUGGGGGGACCAUCCUCCAAGGCUAAAUACUCCUGACUGACCGAUAGUGAACCAGUACCGUGAGGGAAAGGCGAAAAGAACCCCGGCGAGGGGAGUGAAAAAGAACCUGAAACCGUGUACGUACAAGCAGUGGGAGCACCUUCGGGUGUGACUGCGUACCUUUUGUAUAAUGGGUCAGCGACUUAUAUUCUGUAGCAAGGUUAACCGUAUAGGGGAGCCGCAGGGAAACCGAGUCUUAACUGGGCGUUAAGUUGCAGGGUAUAGACCCGAAACCCGGUGAUCUAGCCAUGGGCAGGUUGAAGGUUGGGUAACACUAACUGGAGGACCGAACCGACUAAUGUUGAAAAAUUAGCGGAUGACUUGUGGCUGGGGGUGAAAGGCCAAUCAAACCGGGAGAUAGCUGGUUCUCCCCGAAAGCUAUUUAGGUAGCGCCUCGUGAACUCAUCUUCGGGGGUAGAGCACUGUUUCGGCUAGGGGGUCAUCCCGACUUACCAACCCGAUGCAAACUACGAAUACCGAAGAAUGUUAUCACGGGAGACACACGGCGGGUGCUAACGUCCGUCGUGAAGAGGGAAACAACCCAGACCGCCAGCUAAGGUCCCAAAGUCAUGGUUAAGUGGGAAACGAUGUGGGAAGGCACAGACAGCCAGGAUGUUGGCUUAGAAGCAGCCAUCAUUUAAAGAAAGCGUAAUAGCUCACUGGUCGAGUCGGCCUGCGCGGAAGAUGUAACGGGGCUAAACCAUGCACCGAAGCUGCGGCAGCGACACUAUGUGUUGUUGGGUAGGGGAGCGUUCUGUAAGCCUGCGAAGGUGUGCUGUGAGGCAUGCUGGAGGUAUCAGAAGUGCGAAUGCUGACAUAAGUAACGAUAAAGCGGGUGAAAAGCCCGCUCGCCGGAAGACCAAGGGUUCCUGUCCAACGUUAAUCGGGGCAGGGUGAGUCGACCCCUAAGGCGAGGCCGAAAGGCGUAGUCGAUGGGAAACAGGUUAAUAUUCCUGUACUUGGUGUUACUGCGAAGGGGGGACGGAGAAGGCUAUGUUAGCCGGGCGACGGUUGUCCCGGUUUAAGCAUGUAGGCUGGUUAUCCAGGCAAAUCCGGAUAAUCAAGGCUGAGGUGUGAUGACGAGGCACUACGGUGCUGAAGUAACAAAUGCCCUGCUUCCAGGAAAAGCCUCUAAGCAUCAGGUAACAUCAAAUCGUACCCCAAACCGACACAGGUGGUCAGGUAGAGAAUACCAAGGCGCUUGAGAGAACUCGGGUGAAGGAACUAGGCAAAAUGGUGCCGUAACUUCGGGAGAAGGCACGCUGGUGUGUAGGUGAAGUCCCUGCGGAUGGAGCUGAGACCAGUCGAAGAUACCAGCUGGCUGCAACUGUUUAUUAAAAACACAGCACUGUGCAAACACGAAAGUGGACGUAUACGGUGUGACGCCUGCCCGGUGCCGGAAGGUUAAUUGAUGGGGUUAUCCGUAAGGAGAAGCUCUUGAUCGAAGCCCCGGUAAACGGCGGCCGUAACUAUAACGGUCCUAAGGUAGCGAAAUUCCUUGUCGGGUAAGUUCCGACCUGCACGAAUGGCGUAAUGAUGGCCAGGCUGUCUCCACCCGAGACUCAGUGAAAUUGAACUCGCUGUGAAGAUGCAGUGUACCCGCGGCAAGACGGAAAGACCCCGUGAACCUUUACUAUAGCUUGACACUGAACAUUGAGCCUUGAUGUGUAGGAUAGGUGGGAGGCUUUGAAGCGUGGACGCCAGUCUGCGUGGAGCCAACCUUGAAAUACCACCCUUUAAUGUUUGAUGUUCUAACGUUGGCCCCUUACCGGGGUUGCGGACAGUGUCUGGUGGGUAGUUUGACUGGGGCGGUCUCCUCCCAAAGCGUAACGGAGGAGCACGAAGGUUAGCUAAUCCUGGUCGGACAUCAGGAGGUUAGUGCAAUGGCAUAAGCUAGCUUGACUGCGAGCGUGACGGCGCGAGCAGGUGCGAAAGCAGGUCAUAGUGAUCCGGUGGUUCUGAAUGGAAGGGCCAUCGCUCAACGGAUAAAAGGUACUCCGGGGAUAACAGGCUGAUACCGCCCAAGAGUUCAUAUCGACGGCGGUGUUUGGCACCUCGAUGUCGGCUCAUCACAUCCUGGGGCUGAAGUAGGUCCCAAGGGUAUGGCUGUUCGCCAUUUAAAGUGGUACGCGAGCUGGGUUUAGAACGUCGUGAGACAGUUCGGUCCCUAUCUGCCGUGGGCGCUGGAGAAUUGAGGGGGGCUGCUCCUAGUACGAGAGGACCGGAGUGGACGCAUCACUGGUGUUCGGGUUGUCAUGCCAAUGGCACUGCCCGGUAGCUAAAUGCGGAAGAGAUAAGUGCUGAAAGCAUCUAAGCACGAAACUUGCCCCGAGAUGAGUUCUCCCUGAGACUUUAAGUCUCCUGAAGGAACGUUAAAGACGAUGACGUUGAUAGGCCGGGUGUGUAAGCGCAGCGAUGCGUUGAGCUAACCGGUACUAAUGAACCGUGAGGCUUAACCUU
rnacentral:rRNA from 1 species